ensembl:lncRNA
GUCAGGAUUUGAUUUGGAUUUCCUUCCAUUGGCAUAGUAGGAUGGAAGAGAAGGGACAAUUGCAAGGUCUACUGAAUAGGCAAAGGGUAUUGGCUGGGAUGGUCACCUCUUCAGCACUCAGAUAUACUUUGCCAGAACUCAUCUCCAUCGGUUCAUGGUUAGGUUCAUGGAAGUGCAUAGACAAGUGCUGAUGCAUUUGGCAUUGUCCACUGGCAAUGAACUCUUUCCAGAAGAAGCAUAGAGGAGUCACUAUUAUUCAGAUUUUGUCUCCAGACCUCCUCCUCUCUGAACAACAGCUCAGCCACCUGGGCCAAGUAAGGCAAGGAAGCCAGGAAGGGCUGAUGGCCGUUCAUUUCAGCCAUCUGAACAGCUGCCAGAUUUUGCUCUUGAUGUCUGGGGAGGGAACUUCCACUGUCAUUUGCUGGCAGGAAGUGGAAAAUACUGUCCCCCACCCCUCAACAGUCCUUUUGAUCUUAAAAAGGCAACACAUCUGCUGUAAACACAAGUAACUUCUCAACUGUUGUAGGCCAGCAGCUAGUGGUCUGCAACUAGCCAUCCCCAUUCCCCUUGGACAGGGGUUUUUGGCCAGCAGCUGGGAUUAUGAGUGUGUAUGAGGUGGCAGAACCCACACUGAUGCUUUCCUUUCGUGACAUGGUAAGUUGCCUGGCAGUGCCCCACAUCCUGAGUCUCCUGGUGCUAUUGGUGUCUGGAACGGCAGUAACCACCCUGAGCAGAUGCAGCAAUCAGGAUGCUUUAGAGGAAAAAAUUAUCUGUGCUGGUGCUCAUUACCAAAGCAGAAGCAUGAGUAUCUCCACCCAGAUCUAUUCAAAGGCUCGUGUGUUACCCAGGACCACUGCAAGACUGAGUCACAGCAAAGCUCAAGCUGGGUCUGUCUGUGCUGGGGAGAGAUGGAAAGCGUGGAUGUUCUUCAGGGUGCAAGAAACCUAUCUUGUCACUGCAACAAGUACAAAUCCCUAACUUUAGUGUAAUAUAGAUUUGGGUAUACAGUUUUGAAGAUUUAUUUCCCACUGAAAAACUUGAAAAAGAAGGGGAAAAUAAGUACAAACGUGGGCUAAACUUUGUCAGUUCUAUCUAGAUGACCAAUGCCUCCUGGAUUAUUUUUUUCUUGUGCUUAUGAACUGCAAAAGGAGUGCCAGAAAUAGCAACAUCUGGCAUAAAAUUCAGAUUGUCAGGAAGUCUGAAGUCUGCAGGACACCUUCACACCAGGUCAAGAGAGCUUGAACUUGUUGCCAGGCCUUAGAGAACGCGGCUGAAGUCAGCGAGCAUGUUGUUGAGUCUCAGCAGCCACAUCCAGCAGGAACCAGCCCUUUGUCCAGCUUCUGUGUUAUAAAUGGCUCUGUCUGUAGGAGACCUUGCCUGACGUGGGAUUUACAGAUGCCCAACUCUCUGGUUAUUUGAUUUUUGACGGGAAAUGCUUUGCAGUUAGGAAGCUUGUUGCUGGAAAAAAAUGAAUGAGUUUUUAAAAGUAAUUUGAUGUGACUCUGGAACAUGAAAGUGCAUGACACUUGCUUUAGGUUAAUAUCAUCCAAAUAGCGAUGAGCAUUUGUGGAAAACUCCAACAGAUUGGCUUUAGGAAGAAAAAAAUAAAAAGUAUAUUUGUUGUGUCCUGAUUCGUCUC